rnacentral:rRNA from 1 species
UACGAAUGGGGCUAGCGUUGUUCGGAAUUACUGGGCGUAAAGCGCACGUAGGCGGAUUUGUUAGUCAGGGGUGAAAUCCCGGGGCUCAACCUCGUAACUGCCUUUGAUACUGCAAGUCUAGAGUCCGGAAGAGGUGAGUGGAACUCCUAGUGUAGAGGUGAAAUUCGUAGAUAUUAGGAAGAACACCAGUGGCGAAGGCGGCUCACUGGUCCGGUACUGACGCUGAGGUGCGAAAGCGUGGGUAGCAAACAGG